CCCCAGUGGUCUCUGCUCUGACUGGAGGGAGAAAAGUGUGGGGAUGCAUUUUGGGGCUGAAGCUUAUACCCCAGUGCUUCCCUGAGAAGCCCCGAUGCUUGGGAAGGAAGGAAAGGGCAUCAUUCUCCAAGAUACAUUGUAUAUUUUCUGCAUUUCAGUAUCUGUUAGGACUCGAUCUGUCUCAUAUGCCAGGAAUCCCAACGAAACUGCCUUAACCCAAAGGGAGUCGGUGGGUACAAGUAGCGAAGCAGAGUGGGUCCUGGCUGCAGGUGGGCUUCCUGCGUGGGCUCACGUGACGUCACAGAGCUGGUGUCUGCUUGUCUAUUGCUGAUGCAGUUUCCUCGAGAUUGGCCCCUCUCAGACAGGCCCUCCGCCCAGUGCUGUGACAGCGCCAGCCUCACAUCUUCUCAGGCUAGCCCAGCAGGACGGAGGGACGGGCUCUUUCCGAGGAGUCCUGGCCCCGGCGGUGUCGUGUGCCCACAUGGACCAAUCACUGUGGUGACGCCAGUGAGAUGCUCUGAUUGGCUUAGACCCAGGCUCAGCUAUUUUUUAGAGCGGCACAAACAGACUCAGGCAGUGACCUUAGCUGGAAAUAGGGUCAAUGCAGAUGUGAUGAAGUUAAAGACACACAGGGAGACCAUAUGGAGAUGGAGGCGGAGGCUGCAGUGA
ensembl:lncRNA